CCCUAUCACAUAUUUUAUAUUUCCGUUAACUGCCUCCGUCUAUCCAUCCCUAGCAUCAAUCACCCCGCGCCAUUAAGGACCAGCUUUACGCUCACCUUAAGCCUGCAGCUGCGACUUCUGCCGGGACAGCUAAACUGCACUUCGCGAGCUGUCGUCUUCUCCACAAGAUUUAUUUUUUUUUUCCAUUCCCCCGCAUCUGCCUUUACCAGCCCGAGUGACAUUUGUUGUAAUACCACUCGAACCUGCGUCAGUCCAGAUGCAUGCGAAUUCGAAAAUAGAUUGGGCGCCAUUUGUUACAUUUAGCUUGUUUCCCAGAGGGCAAUGCCGGCUAGCUGUCGACCCCAGGGCUGGGUAGUUCCCCUUGCCCGCCAAAUGUAGACAAAAAAGGAGACAUACUACUUCUCGGGACAUCAGAACUAACAACAACCUAACAACAACAAAGAAAAUCAUAAACAGACGGCUAUCAAGUGGGUGAAGCUUGGGUGUUAUCACUUCGCGCGCCCGCCCUACCUGUGACCAAACACAACGUUCAUUUUGGCCACCCUCUGCUGGAACGGUAACGGCUGGCCUAAUCCAUGGCUUACGCCACGCGUCCUCCCUCUAUUUUAAAUUUAACGCAUCAUACUUCAGUCUAUAUCCAAGCUUUAAUAAUUACAAAUUGACAACUUCAUAUUUCUUAUUAAUAAAUAGCUAUACUCAAAAUUAUCCCUAACCAAAAAGAAACACCAAAACGUUCGACACAAAGACAAACACGGAAAUAACUGCUGAAAUUUCGUUUAACCUACAGGGAUACCCUCACCCAUUCGUACUGGACUAUGUGUAGAUGAGUGGGGACUGGAUCCGUCUUACGGGAGUUAAUUCAACUCGGGCCCCUACGGAGACCUGACCUACCAAGAGCUCUUGUUAAGGGUCCCCGGGACAUAAACAAUAAACAAUAUUUUCCACAAUUCACUCGACCAAAUACGGUGGACUGAUGGGACCCCCGCGUCACCCGCUAAGGGUUAAUCUUCUGGCGUUGACCAGCUGAUCGCAGAUUUACGUUUGUGAAAGUAACGGCUCCAGCUCCCCCCGAUGUCCCCAUCGACCAUCGAGCCUCCCUGGACUUCCGCUAGAUGGCGCGUCGCCCUCAGCCCUGGCCACCUAUCGUUCAGGUGGGACUGGAACAAGAGGUC